rnacentral:rRNA from 1 species
AUUGAACGCUGGCGGCAUGCUUUACACAUGCAAGUCGAACGGUAACAGGUUAAGCUGACGAGUGGCGAACGGGUGAGUAAUGCAUCGGAACGUGCCCGAUCGUGGGGGAUAACGCAGCGAAAGCUGCGCUAAUACCGCAUACGAUCUGAGGAUGAAAGCGGGGGACCGUAAGGCCUCGCGCGAUCGGAGCGGCCGAUGUCAGAUUAGGUAGUUGGUGGGGUAAAGGCCCACCAAGCCGACGAUCUGUAGCUGGUCUGAGAGGACGACCAGCCACACUGGGACUGAGACACGGCCCAGACUCCUACGGGAGGCAGCAGUGGGGAAUUUUGGACAAUGGGCGAAAGCCUGAUCCAGCAAUGCCGCGUGCAGGAAGAAGGCCUUCGGGUUGUAAACUGCUUUUGUACGGAGCGAAAAGGUCCUUUCUAAUACAGGGGGCUCAUGACGGUACCGUAAGAAUAAGCACCGGCUAACUACGUGCCAGCAGCCGCCGUAAAAC